rnacentral:misc_RNA from 1 species
AACCUAGCACACCUGCGGUGUGUACCUGCGGAAGGAUCAUUACAAGUGACCCCGGUCUAACCACCGGGAUGUUCAUAACCCUUUGUUGUCCGACUCUGUUGCCUCCGGGGCGACCCUGCCUUCGGGCGGGGGCUCCGGGUGGGCACUUCAAACUCUUGCGUAACUUUGCAGUCUGAGUAAACUUAAUUAAUAAAUUAAAACUUUUAACAACGGAUCU